GGAAGGCCGGAGGGCUUUGCUUUCCAAACUGCUCGUAUGAGUCUAAGCUCUCAUCGCCUCCAAUGGAGUUUUUCCUUGCCACUGACUCCAUUGGCAACGCUCACCGAGGCUCGGACCCAGAUUUUUCUGCAGAGCUGCUUUGUAACAACAUCCAUCCAUCCAUCCAUCCAUUUUCCAAGCCGCUUCUCCGUCAGGGUCGCGGGGGGGAGCUGGAGCCUAUCCCAGCAGUCUUCGGGCGGAAGGCAGGAUACACCCUGGACAGGUCGCCAGUCCAUCGCAGGGCAGACACACAGACAGUCACUCACACACUCACACCUAGGGACAAUUUAGCACACCCAAGCUUUGUAACAACACCUCUUUUAAAAAGCUCUAUAUAAAUAAACUUUGACUUGAUUUGUAAAAGGGAGCAAAACACUACAUGUGCAUGUUAUUUAAUCUUAUUUGGGAAGCUGUUUAAAAUUAAAUUAGUUCUAGUUCUCUGUUCUCUUUCCUCAUACAGCGAUGACUGCCUGUCAAACAUUGCGGGGUUUCAAUGCUCAUUAGCCAUAUUAGCCUCGUAGCUCCAGAUCAAAAGCAAAGGAGCAAGCUUGAGAUCUCAGAUAUGUCACGGCUAAUCAACAACAUUCGCAAUAAAGGGGAAAACUUUUAUGUUAUGCCCAGAAAAAAAAAAGAUCUUCCUUUAAUCCACAUGGUUUAAGUCAUCAGCUAAUCACCAAGACCCUAAACAAGCUACAGUGCUGCCAUAUUAGGCCAUGCAGUUAACUGCUGUAAUCCAAUGGUCUGUCCAGUGUAGCUGACCACAUGUCAGCCUCAGUCGGAUUCACCUGAGGAUUCUUUAGGAGUGGAAAACAGUUGUUAACUUUGAACUGGAAUCAAAAAGUUUUAUUGCAGUCUACAAAUAUCAGCACAGCGUAUUAACAGACCGACAGGCUCCUCCGAAAAACCACGUAAAGUACGGGCAAGUAGCAGAAAGCGCGGGUUGCCGUAUUGCAGGGCGCUUCGUGCUGCCAGCUUCAGUCCACGAUCCAUUUAGAUAGUGAAUUAUAUCAUUAGAAAAGCAUGAAGUGGUUAGAGCUGGAGUGAAGGAGUGAAAUUGGUAGCAGAUUGGAAGAACUGCUCCAGAACACCAGCGACUGUUGACAGGGUGAGUUAUGGGAGUGAACAUCAGCGAGGGGGAGACGUGGGUGGUCGUGCCUUUGUGCGUGUUGUGUCUAGAGAGAGAGCGAGGCGUCCAAACACGGCAAGUAGGCCCCUCCAUUAAGCUAUAUUUCCACACGUCAAAGUCAAAGCGCUGCUGUCCGUGUCCUCACACUUCGUCAACGAAACCCUCGCCCACAUCUAUCUAGCAUUCCCUCCAUCGCUGAGGGCGCAGUUAUCAUUUAUCUCUGUCUGUCAGCGUAUCUUCUAAUGCCUCCUGGCUGUGGUCCAGGCUUAUCUCGAGCAGAGCGGGACAGGACCAGGGGAGUGUUUAGUUUGGCCUUUACUCCUCCUCAAGCUCACAAACACGACGCCGCUCUGGAGAGAUGCUCUCUCGGCUGAACUCUUCAACCCUCAGCCGCGCUCGGGACAAACGGCCUUGAGCACGUCCCGCACUGCGACUGUACCACUGUGCGUUCAACUGGGACUUCAUAGGUGGGGAGCCCUGGCUUCUCCAUGGCUGUCUCCAAUGUGGGAGCUCUCAGCUGUAGAGCAACAACAGCUUUGUUUAUUUAUUGCACCUUUCAUGCAUUUAAAAUAAAUAUGAAAAAUAAAAAACAAUUAGCAAGAGAGAGAAAAAGAAAGAAGAGGCAGUCAAAUAAAAUUUGCAACAAAUAAAAAUGUGGCAAAAAAAGAAUGAACAAUUAUAACUAUGAAAAAUUACAUUACAUAUGUUCAUUUUCAUACAAAAAAGAAAGAGGAGCUCUUGUUCUCUGAUGCGUUUGAAACAGUUCUUUUAACUAGUUUAAAGCUUUUAAUGUGACUUUCAUCUUUGUCAGAAAAAAAUCAUAUUUUGAUAUAAUUUUAUUCCAAAAUUGACUAACC
ensembl:lncRNA